AGUGUAGUGGUUAGCACGCCUGCUUUACAUGCAGAAGGUCCUGGGUUCACGUCCCAG
rnacentral:tRNA from 1 species